rnacentral:rRNA from 1 species
UUAAAUUGAAGAGUUUGAUCAUGGCUCAGAUUGAACGCUGGCGGCAGGCCUAACACAUGCAAGUCGAACGGUAACAGGAAGCAGCUUGCUGCUUUGCUGACGAGUGGCGGACGGGGGAGUAAUGGCUGGGAAAAUGACUGAUGGAGGG